AGUACGACGGUGUCGAUCGAUACC
rnacentral:siRNA from 1 species